CCUACGGGUGGCAGCAGUGGGGGAUAUUGGGCAAUGGAGGCAACUCUGACCCAGCAAUGCCGCGUGAAUGAAGAAGGUCUUCGGAUUGUAAAGUUCUUUAAUCAGGGACGAAGAAGAUGACGGUACCUGAGGAAUAAGCCACGGCAAACUCCGUGCCAGCAGUCGCGGUAAUACGGAGGAUGCGAGGGUUAUCCGGAUUUAUUGGGUUUAAAGGGUGCGUAGGCGGAAUGCCAAGUCAGCGGUAAAAUGGCGGGGCUCAACCUCGCUUCGCCGUUGAAACUGGCGUUCUUGAGUGGGCGAGAAGUAGGCGGAAUGCGUGGUGUAGCGGUGAAAUGCAUAGAUAUCACGCAGAACUCCGAUUGCGGAGGCAGCAUACCGGCGCCCAACUGACGCUGAGGCACGAAAGCGUGGGUAUCGAACAGGAUUAGAUACCCCAGUAGUC
rnacentral:rRNA from 1 species